AUUAACUGGAAAACAAGCAUUGAACCUAAUGGAAUUUUCACCAUGAUUUUCCCUGCUUUUUCAUUUCUUUUUCUUUUUUUCUUUUAUAUAUUGACAUUUUAUUCCCUAUCCUGUUCAUUUGGAGGUUCCAAACCAUAAAAUGACACCAAAACUUCCAGACAAAACAUGUCUGAAAAUUGAAACACGCAUUGCUCCAACAAGUGACAGAGUGAGUGAUCUCCCAAUUCAUCGAGCGACUCGGAGUCCUCAUCUCAAACCCCAUCAAUCAGACUUCCGAUCCAUCCCGAUCCACAAAAGCCAACUAUAGAACGUAACAGACUUGGACAAAAGAGACACCGCUAUUUCGAACAAACCAUGUCGUCUGACUGCUGGGGGACAUGCCACACAGAAAAUGAGCAACAAUUGUUCAAUAUUUUACCUGUUCUUUUGACUACAAAAUCUCUACUUUGCCUCAUUUGCUAGAGAAGAAGGCUGUAUCAGCACAGAGUCUAGGCAGAGCCCUCCUUUGGUGUGAGUGCAAUCA
rnacentral:misc_RNA from 1 species